UACGGAGGGUGCAAGCGUUAUCCGGAUUCACUGGGUUUAAAGGGUGCGUAGGUGGAUUAGUAAGUCAGUGGUGAAAUCUCCGGGCUUAACCCGGAAACUGCCAUUGAUACUAUUAGUCUUGAAUAUCGUGGAGGUCAGCGGAAUAUGUCAUGUAGCGGUGAAAUGCUUAGAUAUGACAUAGAACACCAAUUGCGAAGGCAGCUGGCUACACGAGCAUUGACACUCAGGCACGAAAGCGUGGGGAUCAAACAGG
rnacentral:rRNA from 1 species